rnacentral:rRNA from 1 species
GGAUAGCGGAGAAAUUCCAAUCGAACUCGGAGAUAGCUGGUUCUCCUCGAAAUAGUUUUAGGACUAGCCUUGUUUAGUAGUACGUGGGGGUAGAGCACUGAAGGAGCUAGGGGCCAAACCAGGUUACCGAACUCUAUCAAACUCCGAAUACCAUGUAUGUAAGAACAGGAGUCAGACUGUGGGAGCUAAGUUCCAUGGUCAAAAGGGAAAGAGCCCAGAUCGUCAAUUAAGGUCCCAAAGAUAUAGUUAAGUGGAAAACGAUGUGAUUUUGCGUAAACAACCAGGAUGUUGGCUUAGAAGCAGCCAUUCAUUUAAAGAGUGCGUAAUAGCUCACUGGUCGAGUGAAGUUGCGCGGAAAAUUACCGGGGCUAAACUAUACACCGAAAUUGCGGAUUCAUACGUAAGUAUGAGUGGUAGAGGAGCAUUCUGUUGUAGGACGAAGCAUGAUCGAAAGGACAUGUGGACGAAGCAGAAGAGAGAAUGCCGGAAUAAGUAGCGAAAGCAUGGUGAGAAUCCAUGCCAUCGAAAGUCUAAGGUUUCCUGGGGAAGGUUCGUCCGCCCAGGGUAAGUCGGGACCUAAGGUGAGGCCGAAAGGCGUAGCCGAUGGACAGCAGGUAGAAAUUCCUGCACCACCGAUAUACUUAAAAAGCACAAGGGACACAGGAGUGGAAGAGAAGCGAGGAAGAGGAAAAACUCGUAUCGAAAGAUAUAGUGAAAAUAAAGUAACGAAUUCUCAAGAAGCACACUGGCGAGAAAAGCUUGUGAGUAUUGUAUAUAGGUGCCCGUACCGCAAACCGACACAGGUAGAUGAGGAGAAGAUCCUAAGAUGAGCGAGAGAAGCAUUGUUAAGGAACUCGGCAAAUUGACCCCGUAACUUAGGGAGAAGGGGUACCGGUGUAACAGCCGGUCGCAGUGAAUCGGUCCAAGCAACUGUUUAACAAAAACACAGGUUUCUGCUAAAUCGAAAGAUGAAGUAUAGGAGCUGACGCCUGCCCGGUGCUGGAAGGUUAAGGGGAAGGGUUAUUCGAAAGAAGAAGCUUUGAACCAAAGCCCCAGUGAACGGCGGCCGUAACUAUAACGGUCCUAAGGUAGCGAAAUUCCUUGUCAGGUAAGUUCUGACCCGCACGAAAGGCGUAAUGAUUUGGACACUGUCUCGACAAUGUACUCGGCGAAAUUGUAGUACUAGUGAAGAUGCUAGUUACCUGCGACAAGACAGAAAGACCCCAUGGAGCUUUACUGUAGCUUGAUACUGGGUUUCGAUAAUUUAUGUACAGGAUAGGUGGGAGACUAUGAGUCAUAGGCGUCAGCUUAUGAGGAGUCACCCUUGGGAUACCACCCUUAAGUUAUUGAAAUUCUAACCAUUCGUCGUCAACCGGCGAGGGGACAAUGUCAGGUGGGCAGUUUGACUGGGGCGGUCGCCUCCAAAAGAGUAACGGAGGCGCUCAAAGGU